rnacentral:lncRNA from 1 species
GCAGCCGCUUGACACGGCCGGCCGGCUGCCUGCCCGCCCGCCCGCCCUCGGGAGGAGCCGGGUGGAGCCCCAGGGCGGGUGGCCGGCAGGAGCUGCAGCAGCUAGGAGUUGCCUGGGUCCUUGCUGGAGUGUGCUGGAUGUUUGAGACAGAGGCAGAUGAGAAGGAGAUGCCCCUGGUCGAGGGGAAGGGGCCAGGUGCUGAGGAACGCACACCCAGCAAAGACCCCUCUCCCAGCCAGGAGCUGCCUCCAGGACAAGAACUCCCACCCAGCAAAGACCCCUCUCCCAGCCAGGAGCUGCCUCCAGGACAAGACCUCCCACCCAGCAAAGACCCCUCUCCCAGCCAGGAGCUGCCUCCAGGACAAGAACUCCCACCCAGCAAAGACCCCUCUCCCAGCCAGGAGCUUCCUGCAGGACAAGACCUCCCACCCAGGAAGGAAUCCUUUUCAGGCCAAGAAGCAGCUCCUGGCCCAGAGUCACCAUCCAGUGAAGACAUAGCAACCUGCCAAAACCCCCCUCAAAGC